rnacentral:rRNA from 1 species
UGAACCAGCCAAGUCGCGUGAGGGAUGAAGGUUCUAUGGAUCGUAAACCUCUUUUAUAAGGGAAUAAAGUGCGGGACGUGUCCCGUUUUGUAUGUACCUUAUGAAUAAGGAUCGGCUAACUCCGUGCCAGCAGCCGCGGUAAUACGGAGGAUCCGAGCGUUAUCCGGAUUUAUUGGGUUUAAAGGGUGCGUAGGCGGCCUUUUAAGUCAGCGGUGAAAGUCUGUGGCUCAACCAUAGAAUUGCCGUUGAAACUGGGGGGCUUGAGUAUGUUUGAGGCAGGCGGAAUGCGUGGUGUAGCGGUGAAAUGCAUAGAUAUCACGCAGAACCCCGAUUGCGAAGGCAGCCUGCCAAGCCAUUACUGACGCUGAUGCACGAAAGCGUGGGGAUCAAACAGGAUUAGAUACCCUGGUAGUCCACGCAGUAAACGAUGAUCACUAGCUGUUUGCGAUACACUGUAAGCGGCACAGCGAAAGCGUUAAGUGAUCCACCUGGGGAGUACGCCGGCAACGGUGAAACUCAAAGGAAUUGACGGGGGCCCGCACAAGCGGAGGAACAUGUGGUUUAAUUCGAUGAUACGCGAGGAACCUUACCCGGGUUUGAACGCAUUUCGACAGCUCUGGAAACAGAGUCUCUAGCGAUAGCGAUUUGCGAGGUGCUGCAUGGUUGUCGUCAGCUCGUGCCGUGAGGUGUCGGCUUAAGUGCCAUAACGAGCGCAACCCUUGCCACUAGUUACUAACAGGUAAAGCUGAGGACUCUGGUGGGACUGCCAGCGUAAGCUGCGAGGAAGGCGGGGAUGACGUCAAAUCAGCACGGCCCUUACAUCCGGGGCGACACACGUGUUACAAUGGCGUGGACAAAGGGAAGCCACCUGGUGACAGGGAGCGAAUCCCCAAACCACGUCUCAGUUCGGAUCGGAGUCUGCAACCCGACUCCGUGAAGCUGGAUUCGCUAGUAAUCGCGCAUCAGCCAUGGCGCGGUGAAUACGUUCCCGGGCCUUGUACACACCGCCCGUCAAGCCAUGGGAGCCGGGGGUACCUGAAGUCCGUAACCGAAAGGAUCGGCCUAGGGUAAAACUGGUGACUGGGGCUAAGUCGUAACAAGGUAGCCGUACCGGAAGGUGCGGCUG